GGACCAGCUGACUGACUAAUACUUAACCUUGGUUCAUUAUCUAGUUUGGUGAGAGAUCAUCUCUAAGAUAGUUGUUGUUGUUUUGAACCAUUUUUAUUUUUUUAAUUAUUCCUUUUAUCAAGUCAGUCUUUUUUUUAGGAUUUUCUAGCAUAUCUAUAAGUUAUAAUGGCUUUUGCUGUGGGGUUUUUACUAUUGUAAAAUUUUAGUGUAGUCUCUGUAGUAUCUUAAUCAUUGCUUAAGCAAAUUAUUCUUAUACCCCUCUUUCCUCCUUCUCAGAUUGUUAAUUUUGAAAGACAAUGUGCUAACCAUGAUGACAUUUUCCCUGCAUUGUAGAGCUGCUGUCAGUCAGGCCGUUUGUCAAUCAUGGCAAGAGUUCCUCCUGCUGUUGCUCUUGCUGAACCUGUGCUUACAGCACACACAUAGGCUCACAUUUCGGCACCGUGCACUCAAGCAGUUGCUGACCUCUGCUGCCCACAGGUACUGUGCUGGCCAUGAGUGUGUGAAACAUCAGGCUAUAAUGAAAUCAGCGUCCGGUAGAUAGCAACCUACUUCCUUGUUUGCCUGCAACCUCCCCUGGACAUUAAGUUGCCCUGGGGUUGACGACCUGGCCUGGGGUUGACAACCUGGCCAACCCUUCCCAUUGUCCCUGCAACCUGCACUGUAAUGAUUAAAACAGCUUGCUCGGGUGUGGGGGGGGGCGUGUACUCAGUGGUAAGACAAACUGGUGACCCAUUAUAUGCAUUCUAAAUAAUUCAGAAG
rnacentral:lncRNA from 1 species